ensembl:lncRNA
AUUGCCUUGCACUAGAUGAGGGCCGUGUCUCUGAUGAGCUCAUCUUUUCUGUCUCUAAUAGCAGGAGAAGCACGUUGCUGAAAACACUCUCAUAAAUCUUCGUGCAGUUGUUGGGGAAUGAGAGCUGAUGUCAUGUUGGGCUGAAUGCUUUCAGUCACAUAAACAACAGGAGGAAGCCUUAUCUCAUGGCACAGAAUUGAAUUCAACCCUGACACUCAUAUUUGCAAUCCCAAGAAAACCAUGCGUGAUCUAAGAUCCUCAAAAUGCAGUUUAAGAGACCCAGCAGCCAGUAAUUCUCCUUUAACCUUUGUGGGUGCAAAGGAGUGCUUGAUUCAGCAAGAACAUGAAAUGAAAGAGAGAUCAUUCUUUCACUGGAGCUGCUGCAAACUGGAGAAAGUGCCCUUACUCCAAAAGGAGGGUUAUUUAAACUUCCACCUCCACGUGGUUUGACAACAUCUGUGAUGUGCAGACAAGCUGGCUCCUAGCCGUGCUGCAUUGGCUCUGGCCUGCCAUGACAGACAGGACACCUCCGCUCACCUUCAGCUAUCCUGCUGGAAAAAAACAUGUAGGCUCUGGGCUGUGCAACAUCAUCAUCUGCACCCCUGGUGUGUGGACACAGUCACUGGCUUGCUUUUGACCAUGGUCAGUUUGUCCUUGACCUCAAAAAUAAGUCCUCGUGGGGUUUCUGGAUCAACUCAUACACAAGAAAUCACUCUAGACUUUGCCUUAAGAAGAAAGCACAUAGGAGACACCACAUCCAUCAACAGAAGAAGGCAGCUCAGUUCCCAAAAAUCUAGUGGACCUCUUCAGGACAUGAAUGGCUGGUGAAAGCUGUGAUGAUGUAUUGGCUGCAUACAGCUGCAAGGAGAUAUUUUAGUCUGAAGAAUGGCUUCAGAGUGGCUUUCCCUGCUCAUCAAACCGGAGUCUUAUAACUUAUAGGUGACUCUAAAGACCACAGUGCCAAGAUCCUUGACUUCUCAUGCCAGCACAUGUCAAAACAACCCUCUUACCCCUUAACUGUAUGCUGGGCUCCCUGUCACCAGUGCCACUCCAAGGAAGAGUCUUUGUGUAACUAAUCAUCUUCCAACAGGCAACUAAAGCGCAGAGCAACAGCGAGGACUUUUUCCACUCUUAGAAUUGCCAUUGACUUCCCUGGAAACGUUCAGGGCAGACCAAUGCCGGCAUGCCUUUUCCCACCAGCUAUUGGACAAUAAACUUGUUACUGUUCCCUGAUUGCUCCUUGCA